GACGAACGCUGGCGGCGUGCUUAACACAUGCAAGUCGAACGGAAAGGCCCUGCUUUUGUGGGGUGCUCGAGUGGCGAACGGGUGAGUAACACGUGAGUAACCUGCCCUUGACUUUGGUAUAACUUCAGGAAACUGGGGCUAAUACCGGAUAGGAGCUCCUGCUGCAUGGUGGGGGUUGGAAAGUUUCGGCGGUUGGGGAUGGACUCGCGGCUUAUCAGCUUGUUGGUGGGGUAGUGGCUUACCAAGGCUUUGACGGGUAGCCGGCCUGAGAGGGUGACCGGCCACAUUGGGACUGAGAUACGGCCCAGACUCCUACGGGAGGCAGCAGCGGGGAAUAUUGCACAAUGGGCGGAAGCCUGAUGCAGCAACGCCGCGUGCGGGAUGACGGCCUUCGGGUUGUAAACCGCUUUCGCCUGUGACGAAGCGUGAGUGACGGUAAUGGGUAAAGAAGCACCGGCUAACUACGUG
rnacentral:rRNA from 1 species